AUACUCUACCUAUAGCCACGUAGCUUUAGAACUAUGGUUUCAUCCCACGUAUUUUAUGUGAGGAUGCCGAUCCUCUGGAUAUGCCUAUAACAUGCAGGAUACUUGGUGCAUCCGCCGAAGUUUCUCCAAAGCCUAAAGUCUCUCUAAAUGAAAAGUAAUAUAUCAGUAAUAGACUAAGUGUGGAGCUAGGAAUAUGCGAACUGCUUCCAAGGAAGCAAAUCAAGAGCAUCACCAACCAUUAUAUGUAACAAU